rnacentral:rRNA from 1 species
UACGUAGGAGACGAGCGUUGUCCGGAGUUACUGGGCGUAAAGGGCGCGCAGGCGGCCGCCCGCGUGUGUGGUGAAAGCUCCUGGCUUAACUAGGAGAGGUCCAUGCAGACGGGGUGGCUUGAGCGUCGGAGAGGGGCGUGGAAUUCCGGGUGGAGCGGUGAAAUGCGUAGAGAUCCGGAGGAACACCAAUGGCGAAGGCAGUGCCCUGGCCGACGGCUGACGCUCAGGCGCGAAAGCGUGGGGAGCAAACAGG